rnacentral:rRNA from 1 species
AGAGUUUGAUCCUGGCUCAGGACGAACGCUGGCGGCGCGCCUAACACAUGCAAGUCGAACGAGAGAGAGGGAGCUUGCUUCCUCAAUCGAGUGGCGAACGGGUGAGUAACGCGUGAGGAACCUGCCUCAAAGAGGGGGACAACAGUUGGAAACGACUGCUAAUACCGCAUAAGCCCACAGGUCGGCAUCGACCAGAGGGAAAAGGAGCAAUCCGCUUUGAGAUGGCCUCGCGUCCGAUUAGCUAGUUGGUGAGGUAAUGGCCCACCAAGGCAACGAUCGGUAGCCGGACUGAGAGGUUGAACGGCCACAUUGGGACUGAGACACGGCCCAGACUCCUACGGGAGGCAGCAGUGGGGAAUAUUGCACAAUGGGGGAAACCCUGAUGCAGCGACGCCGCGUGGAGGAAGAAGGUCUUCGGAUUGUAAACUCCUGUUGUUGAGGAAGAUAAUGACGGUACUCAACAAGGAAGUGACGGCUAACUACGUGCCAGCAGCCGCGGU